UGGGGAAUAUUGCGCAAUGGGGGGAACCCUGACGCAGCCAUGCCGCGUGAAUGAAGAAGGCCUUCGGGUUGUAAAGUUCUUUCGGUAUUGAGGAAGGUUGAUGUGUUAAUAGCACAUCAAAUUGACGUUAAAUACAGAAGAAGCACCGGCUAACUCCGUGCCAGCAGCCGCGGUAAUACGGAGGGUGCGAGCGUUAAUCGGAAUAACUGGGCGUAAGGGCACGCAGGCGGUUAUUUAAGUGAGGUGUGAAAGCCCCGGGCUUAACCUGGGAAUUGCAUUUCAGACUGGGUAACUAGAGUACUUUAGGGAGGGGUAGAAUUCCACGUGUAGCGGUGAAAUGCGUAGAGAUGUGGAGGAAUACCGAAGGCGAAGGCAGCCCCUUGGGAAUGUACUGACGCUCAUGUGCGAAAGCGUGGGGAGCAAACAGGAUUAGAUACCCUGGUAGUCCACGCUGUAAACGCUGUCGAUUUGGGGGUUGGGGUUUAACUCUGGCGCCCGUAGCUAACGUGAUAAAUCGACCGCCUGGGGAGUACGGCCGCAAGGUUA
rnacentral:rRNA from 1 species